GCAGUGAACAUCACUAUCUUCAGCUUCUGUUUACUGCAGCUUCUGAAUAUUGUAAAUUUUGCAGGCUUAUAGGAAUGGUGCCAGAGGCUCUCAGAGUCUGGACUUGGUUAAAAUUUGUGGUGCAGAGAAGAGAGAAAGGAGUGGGGAGUGGAAAUGAAGAUCUCCAUCUGGGGUAAAUUAAGAUAGUGCUACUCCAAUCUGUGGCAGCUCAAGACCACUUUAAGGAAAAAGCAUAUCCUGAGAGCUCAUGGAGGUUACCUCAGAGACUCCCUGCUGAGUACCCAACCAGCUCUCCACAAGUACUGAUAGAGCAGUGGCAAGAAAAAGAAGUCUGCUUGUAAACCAGCUACUUGCUUUUUCCAGAUAAAAGUUUAGACUACCCCAUUUGAGGUGGGGUAAGGUAAGGAAGGGUGAUUCUAAGACUGGUGAUUUAUUUCCUGACUUUAGAAGGAAAGAAGUAAUUGGCAAAGUUUUCAGGAAUUUUAACCGUUGCAAACCCUGGGAUAUCCUUACCUAGAUUUUGGGUUUCAGUCUCUAUGUCCUUCAAGGAAAAAAUGCUAAAGUGGGCUGAGACCCUGUGUUCUGCCCUUCUUCUGGCUUCUUUCGAGUACAUUCGCAAUAAACUUCAUGUUAUGAAGGUCAACUCAAAUUUUCCAAGAUUUUAAGACAGUUUAGGGAAAUGCCUCAGUUCUGGUAUCAUAGAAUGUCAGCCUUUACCUUCCAAGUGUGUGUACUGGCGGCUUAGGUGGUUACAGCUUGGGAAGUAUUUGCUACUUAAUGAAUUUUGUGCAUUUCUUGAACAGCUGCUCCUCAGCUCCUGUGCCACCAUGAGGAACAGCCUCUUCAGCCUCAACAGGUAUGCAAAGCUGAGCUUGCUAGACAGCAUUCACAAACUCUUUCCUUUUUAAGGUUGAGGCCGGAUUUAGUUCAUCAUCCCAGGGGAUGCAGACUCAGGAAGAGUACCCAGCAUUUUCAGCAAUUGCAAGCUGAGAAGUAUUGAUGCUUACCUCACACACCGGAGCAGAAGGACCACAUGCUCUCCUAUAUAAACACUGCUGGUCCAAGUUUGAUUUUAUGGAGUUCAGGUUUGGCUCAAGGAAUUAAGACUGCUUGCAGCCCUAUGCACUCCCACUUGGCUUCAUGACCAUUAGCAAAGCUGAACGGGACUAACAAACCUUACAAACAGGGUUUAUCUCUCUCCUACUGAAAAAGAAAGGAGUGUAUUAUGUUGUGGCAAUCUGAGGGCAGGAACUGAGGAUGUGAGCAUGGAGUGCCAAUGUUUUAGCAGACUGCAGUUAGAGAUCCUGUUACGUGUCUGGUAUUCCUUCAGCUAAAUCAUCACAGAAGAUCUGGUGCUUGGUGCUUAGCUGCUACUAUUUGCUUUUAAGACUAUUAAGUGGUGAAAUGUUUGGAAUAAGAUUUGAGGUUGGUGCAUUCUUCCGCCCUGCAGGAUGAACAGAGUGGUCCAGCAGCCUUGGGGGGAAGCACAAUAAAUGUGAGGUCUUUGCUGGAUCCUCUUGGUCUGAGGGUGUCUGGAUGGAUCCUACUGACUAAGGUGAUUGUAGUACUCUUGCGUCCUCCAUUAGGUCCUCUGCUAAAGCCUCAGGACAGCAGUGAGGCGACAGCAGUCAAGAGGCAGCAGUCACUGACAUGGCAGUUCAAAGGUGAGAAGGGGCUGUAGGUUAUUAGCAUCGCCCAUUUUGGGUAGUCCCUCUUGCCAUUCGUACAAAUACUUGGUGUCUCACACUUUGGGAUUUUGGCACAGAUGAGGGAACAACACCGAAAGAUCAACUUAAGCUGCUUCAGAAGAAGGUAUAAGAAAUCCUGUUAGGACUGUGAGAACAGUUUAUUUCUAAACCUUCAGUAGUUUGUUUAUACCAAUUGUCUGAUUGGUCAAAGGGAUAUCCCAAACCUAGAAGGUUAGUUAAUGUGGUGGAGACACGUUGGCACCUGAAUAGUGUUACCAUCUUGUCCAUCCACUUUGGGCUGUCCAGUCCAAGCUCUGUGGUACAAACCAAGAUGAAGGACUGAGCUUGUACUCCUGGGUCAAGGACAGGAACCAUUCAGACAUGAGAACAUAGGGAUUACAUUUACUGGCUCAUUGCCUCAUGCUGGUGCACUGUCCUGAACAAGAGGCACUUCACCUUGUGCUCCUCCAAAGCCCCAGAUCCCUCUGGUAGAGAAAGCACCAUGCAGGCGGCUCUUACUCUUACUCCUUUCCUCAUACAGUGGUCUAUAUCUCUGCUUCAGACAGAGUGGCACAUGUCUGUUUGCCAUAAAUAGUGGAUAAUACAGAGGCAGCUAGGUCAAGGACAGUGCUGGAAGAACAUUCCAGCUCAGAAUCAGCUUAGACAUCUAGUUUUUCUCCACUGAAGGAUCCCCAAAAUCCUGUUGUAACACUCAGGUCACAGCAACAGCCCCAUCUACAUUCAUGAUCUGAUUUCUGUCCAGCAAUUGCUUGAGAGGUAUGUAAAUGUAGGAUUGUGCUAGAAGUGAUCCAGAAGAGCAGCACAGGGCUACUGGAGGAGAGGUCACAGAUGGCUGUGCUCCCCAUCACAGGCAGAAGAAAAAUUACCCUUCUGCCCUUGCUACUGAGGUUCCCUUUCCACCACAGCAUGAGUAAUACAUCCCCUUGCCAGGUAAGCAACACUUUUAGCUACUUGAUAUAAAAUAUAUUUAUUACUUUUUUCAAGGAUUAAACUAGAAAUAAAAAGCUAAUUGCUAAUUGCUUCCCAGGCUUUUCUAUUUGCAUUUGCAAGACUGGCAGAGCUGACGCUGUCGGUCUCAGAUGUGGGGCUGUUCUUCUGACGGCCCAUCUGACCCUGCUCUGCACCUUCUCCUCCCUUUCCACAGUCUGCAGCAGCACCUGUCGCUGCAUGGAGCAAUCCCUGAUGUCAAGUUCUGAGGUGAAGGUCAGCUAAUUGGGCUUAAACCUUGUCUAGCAUUUUUUCAAAUAGUCUCGUCUGUCAUGUGUCCCACGCCACUGAGCAAUCACCUCAUGACCCCUGUCUUGAGGCCAAUUACUUACAUCUGGAUAAAGCACACCUUGAGUGUUUUGAGUAUUUUGAAUCCCUUUUCAUUCUUCUGAGCAGAGGUUUCCAGUUUUUCAUGUCUUUUCAUGUCUUGCUGAGCACAAUAGCCAGCUGAGACCCCCCAUUUUUCUUGGCAAGUGUCCUUACCCAUUCCAGUCAGAGCUACCUCUCAAUUUUCUUCUUGAUAAAUUGUGCAACACAAGACUCACAUAAUUCUCCUUGCAGGAAGUUCUCUUUACCCUCACAUUGUUUAUGCUAGUAUUUUUUGCUACCUCUACAAUUUUUUUCAAAAGCCCUUUAAAAAUGCUGAAAUUCAACUAGAAUACAGUUUUAUGGUACUUAUCAAAUCUGUAUGAAGAGGUAAAAUCACCUUCCUUGCUGUAAUCACCAUUCUCUUAUUUAAAUAUCCAAAGGUCAUUUAACCCCUCUUGCUACAUGCUUUGGAAAGAUGCUUCUCUGCUCUGGUCCUAAAUGCUUUGAAACAUCUGAGCUUUGCUCCAUAUAUGGGCAGAUACAAAUCAGGCCUUAUUAAAGCGUAUUUUGUUUGAAUGGAUCCUAAUCGCUUUGUGGAAUGGUCUCAUUAUUUACUCUUCUGGUUGUGUUGGACCACCCACACGCCGUAUCAGCAGUGCCUUUAUGGUUCAUUCCAGACAGCUGAUGGCCCUAUUGGGCCACUAGCUGAACAUCCAUCCUGCUUUCCUGGUGGUGUCUGUUAGCUGUUGGAUAAAGCCAUUGGGGUUACCAGCAGAGCAGUCUCACUGAUGAACCUGUCCAAAUUAAUUCAGAGGCUUACAACCUUUGGGAAGGGCUGCAAAACUUUCUAGCUCCCCAAGGCCUUUUCAUCCCAACACUGAACCUUCUUGCUUCAAAAAACCAAAAUCAUUCCCUGUGUUGAAUUUUCACCCUGGAAACAUUAAUUGUAUUGAUUGUUUAUUGAUUUGAAGUGAAAUACAGUCAGAAAAGGCACAGAUAUCUGCAGCUUAAAGCUCUAAAUAUGAAGAGGCAAAAUCUGACCUAACUUUUGAGAAGAAAUGCACUUGUCCCUGCCGUUUGUCACAACUGUUGUGUUUGUCAGAGUGGAUCAUGCCCAGCUCUGGACCACAGAAACAUGGAAUGCAGAGAACUUCUCCCGGCCCUCCCUUGCUGGUGGGAAGGGAAGGAGCCCAGCAAGUAGCCAGAUAUGCUCUGUGCCUAAAGGAGCCUCCCAGGCUAAGCAGGAGACAAAGUGAACACACCGUUAAAACCCCAAGGAUGAUGUGAAGCUCUAUAAAAGCAACGUGGGUGCAUCAGCUGAUCCAACAUGGUUGAUGUUCUGCACCUCAGAUCUGGAAUAAAAGAGGACUCUUCCUGGGACAAGGAAGCUUGUGCUAAGCAGCAAUUAUUUUAGUAGUAAAAGACCAGUUUCUGGGAGCUUCUCCCAGCAGAAUAAAGCUCUCCUUCCUCUCUCCCUCUGCUGAUCAUUGCUCCUGUGUGUAAGAGAGUGGGCAGGUGAACGUGGGUGGCUGGUGUGCAGACUGAGCACAUCACUGCAAAUUAUCUGCAGGCUUCAGGUAAAAUGUAGAUCAGAAAGUAUCACAUAGCAGGAGCUGCUUUCCAUAUUUAGAUAAGCAAGGCUUGAUGUGGGAUUUUAUGAGGUUUCUGUACUGUUACUGUAGCACCUGGUUCCCACUAAGAAAACACAGAAAACCGAAAGUAAAACCUCCCUGGUGGGGUCUUGAAAUGUCUAUAACAGACUGGGGCCAUUUUGGUCUUUCCAGAUUGUGUGCCUGCCCAAAAACCAGAGAAGACAAUGAUAAUUGCCGUUGACCGUCAGCAAACACUGUCAAGUCAUAUUAGACCUGUGACCAGAACUUAUCUAUGGGAAAAGUAUGGCUUACUUUCUUCUUCAUCCAAAUGCUAGUUAGCUUCCUGCUCUCUUCUGGUGUAUGAGAAACUUAAUUCAACAAUAUAUCAGGUAUUAAUGUGUGCCCCUCCUUAUAUUCCAGGUAGAACACUGUGUCUUGGAAAUCCCAGUGACCUACACCAUAUGUUAUGGACAAGCAACUUCUGGUUUCCAUUAAAUACUUAUUUGUAUGCCAGUUCUUGAUGGUCUGUGAAUUAGUAGCAAAGAACUGUAUAAGCUUUAUGGUGUUAUCUAUAGGUGAGAGGAAUGACUUGCUGAUUAAAUGUU